UUUCUUUGCCAAAACAGCAGCAAAGCACCGUGCUUCUGCAAUUGAACGAUGCAAGUUUAUGCACGUUCCUUAUACAUGAAUUAUCGGUUCACCUCUGACACAAAGUAUUUAAAAGACUGUAGAAACGUUUUCAUAGCAGGCGAUAAGUGUGCUCUUAUUUGUUACAAUAAGUUUGAUUGAAAAUAAUAGGAAUUUAAUAUUUAUCGAUCUCUCUGGAACUGUGCUACGGGGUGGGAAUGGGGAAAGAAUC
rnacentral:lncRNA from 1 species